UGGGGAAUAUUGGACAAUGGGCGCAAGCCUGAUCCAGCCAUGCCGCGUGAGUGAUGAAGGCCUUAGGGUUGUAAAGCUCUUUCGCCGGUGAAGAUAAUGACGGUAACCGGAGAAGAAGCCCCGGCUAACUUCGUGCCAGCAGCCGCGGUAAUACGAAGGGGGCUAGCGUUGCUCGGAAUCACUGGGCGUAAAGCGCACGUAGGCGGAUCGUUAAGUCAGGGGUGAAAUCCUGGAGCUCAACUCCAGAACUGCCCUUGAUACUGGCGAUCUCGAGUUCGAGAGAGGUUGGUGGAACUCCGAGUGUAGAGGUGAAAUUCGUAGAUAUUCGGAAGAACACCAGUGGCGAAGGCGGCCAAACUGGCUCGAUACUGACGCUGAGGUGCGAAAGCGUGGGGAGCAAAACAGGAUUAGAUACCCUGGUAGUCCACGCCGUAAAACGAUGGAUGCUAGCCGUUGGGGGGUUUACCUCUCAGUGGCGCAGCUAACGCCUUAAGCAUCCCGCCUGGGGAGUACGGUCGCAAGAUUAAAAACUCAAAGGAAUUGACGGGGUCAUAGCUGUUUCCU
rnacentral:rRNA from 1 species